GGGAUAAUGGCCUAUAGCAGACAUUUCUACAACGUUAUUCUUCUCAUCUCUCUUUCUCAGAUUCUUUCUUUGUUAGUGUGUCCAUGAAUCCGCUCUUGUUGGCUUCUUUUUCUAGUACCACUACUGCUGCUGCUGCUGUUACUAAAACUGCUACAACUGCUAUUGACCUUAUAAUUCUCCAUUUGUUGCCACCUGGGUUUCAUAAACUAGAUUUGUGAGAAGUUGG
rnacentral:misc_RNA from 1 species